AUCAUUAAGCAGAAAAUAAUUUUUUAUGUGGAAAUGCAUGAUUAUUAAUUUGAAUAAUGAAAUUAUAUUGUAAUUUAUUUUAGCUAAAGAUCACACUAAUCAGUGAUUGUACUUAAUAAAUAUAGAAUUAUUGCAUAAUUUAUAUUAUAU
rnacentral:sRNA from 1 species